rnacentral:rRNA from 1 species
GACGAACGCUGGCGGCGUGCUUAACACAUGCAAGUCGAACGAUGAAGCCGGAGCUUGCUCUGGUGAAUUAGUGGCGAACGGGUGAGUAACACGUGGGUAACCUGCCAAUAAGACUGGGAUAACUCCGGGAAACCGGGGCUAAUACCGGAUAACAUUUUGAACCGCAUGGUUCGAAAUUGAAAGGCGGCUUCGGCUGUCACUUAUGGAUGGACCCGCGUCGCAGUAGCUAGUUGGCGAGGUAACGGCUCACCAAGGAAACGAGGCGUAGCCGACCUGAGAGGGUGAUCGGCCACACUGGGACUGAGACACGGCCCAGACUCCUACGGGAGGCAGCAGUAGGGAAUCUUCCGCAAUGGACGAAAGUCUGACGGAGCAACGCCGCGUGAGUGAUGAAGGCUUUCGGGUCGUAAAACUCUGUUGUUAGGGAAGAACAAGUGCUAGCUGAAUAAGCUGGCACCUUGACGGUACCUAACCAGAAAGCCACGGCUAACUACGUGCCAGCAGCCGCCGUAA